AUGGCGUCGGCCGUGUUGACCUCCUACCCGGGUGCGGCCAUUGAGUGGGAUGAUUAUGAUGUUGGUGAUGGGCUGCGGGCGGCCGUGACGCUGGUGGAGUCCGGAGGGGGCUCCAGACCCCCGGCGGGGCGGGGAAGGGGCUGGAGUUCGUCGCGUAUAUUAGCAGCAGUGGUGGUUACACAAGCUACGGGUCGGCGGUCAAGGGCCGCUUCACCAUCUCCAGGGACGACUCCCAGAGCACGGUCACGCUGCAGAUGAGCAGCCUCACGGCCGGCGACACGGCCACCUACUACUGCGUCAAAG